GACCAGACUCCUACGGGAGGCAGCAGUGAGGAAUAUUGGUCAAUGGGCGCGAGCCUGAACCAGCCAAGUCGCGUGAGGGAGGACGGCCCUACGGGUUGUAAACCUCUUUUGCCGGGGAGCAACGGGCGCCACGUGUGGCGUCACUGAGAGUACCCGGAGAAAAAGCAUCGGCUAACUCCGUGCCAGCAGCCGCGGUAAUACGGAGGAUGCGAGCGUUAUCCGGAUUUAUUGGGUGUAAAGGGUGCGUAGACGGGAAAUUAAGUUAGUUGUGAAAUCCCUCGGCUUAACUGAGGAACUGCAACUAAAACUGAUUUUCUUGAGUACUGGAGAGGAAAGUGGAAUUCCUAGUGUAGCGGUGAAAUGCGUAGAUAUUAGGAGGAACACCAGUGGCGAAGGCGACUUCCUGGACAGUAACUGACGUUGAGGCACGAAAGUGUGGGGAGCAAACAGGAUUAGAUACCCUAGUAAG
rnacentral:rRNA from 1 species